rnacentral:rRNA from 1 species
UACGAAGGGAGCUAGCGUUGUUCGGAAUCACUGGGCGUAAAGCGCACGUAGGCGGCUGUGUCAGUCAGGGGUGAAAUCCCGGAGCUCAACUUCGGAACUGCCUUUGAUACAGCACGUCUUGAGUCCGAUAGAGGUGGGUGGAAUUCCUAGUGUAGAGGUGAAAUUCGUAGAUAUUAGGAAGAACACCGGUGGCGAAGGCGGCCCACUGGAGCGGUACUGACGCUGAGGUGCGAAAGCGUGGGGAGCAAACAGG